CUGGAGUCAGACUCCAGGGGCAGCUGCUUUGCAGAAGGUCACCUGCCCUGGGUGAGUUGAGAGAAGCUGAGCCUAGCAGUAGGAAGCAGGCUGGUGUCCCUACCGCUGAAGCAUUUUGCAGGUGGGUUUUCUUUAAAUCUAAACACUUAACAGAGUGAUUGGCUAAUCUAUUAGCUGACUGGCUAGCAGUGAUUUCAGCAGAGGAAGUCUGCAUGGAUUCCAACUGAAGAUUCCUACAGGCAAGUGGAGGAAAGAUGUUGUUUUAGACUCAGCAGACUAUAGCUCCUGUAGCAUCUUAAAUUUGUUAAGUCUCUACGGUGCCACAAGGAUGCCUCAGUUUUUGUUUUUUGCUGAUACAGAUUAACACUGCUGCCACUGAAACCUUUAUAGAUCUUGGUGACCAAAGACUCUAACUUACACAUAGGUGAACAAAACCUAAGCUUUUGGGAGCUCUGUUUCUUCUCUCUCUAUUUCUGUGGGGAUUGAACCAUUCCAUUUUAAUUUUUCUUUAUUUAUGUUUAUGUAUAACUGUGAAGAUAAUGUCUGUCGAUUAUAAAAUCUUAUGAUAAUGAAACAAAUAAUAUAAUUUUUACAGCAUGA